rnacentral:rRNA from 1 species
AGUAAAAUCCAUGAGUAACGCAGCUAACGCGUGAAGUAGACCGCCUGGGGAGUACGGUCGCAAGAUUAAAACUCAAAUGAAUUGACGGGGGCCCGCACAAGCGGUGGAUUAUGUGGAUUAAUUCGAUGCAACGCGAAAAACCUUACCUGGCCUUGACAUGUACCGAAUUUGGGAGAGAUUCCUUAGUGCUCGAAAGAGAACGGUAACACAGGUGCUGCAUGGCUGUCGUCAGCUCGUGUCGUGAGAUGUUGGGUUAAGUCCCGCAACGAGCGCAACCCUUGCCAUUAAUUGCCAUCAUUUAGUUGGGCACUUUAAUGGGACUGCCGGUGACAAACCGGAGGAAGGUGGGGAUGACGUCAAGUCCUCAUGGCCCUUAUGGCCAGGGCUUCACACGUAAUACAAUGGUCGGUACAGAGGGUUGCCAACCCGCGAGGGGGAGCCAAUCCCAGAAAGCCGAUCGUAGUCCGGAUUGUAGUCUGCAACUCGACUACAUGAAGUCGGAAUCGCUAGUAAUCGCGGAUCAGCAUGUCGCGGUGAAUACGUUCCCGGGCCUUGUACACACCGCCCGUCACACCAUGGGAGUGGGUUUUACCAGAAGUAGGUAGUCUAACCGUAAGGAGGACGCUUACCACGGUAGUAUUCAUGACUGGGGUGAAGUCGUAACAAGGUAACC